rnacentral:ncRNA from 1 species
CCAGGUUUCCCUAUCAGGACCGUGGUAGACCACCACGGUUGAUAGGCCGGGUGUGGAAGCGCAGUAAUGCGUGAAGCUAACCGGUACUAAUCGUCCGA